rnacentral:rRNA from 1 species
AUUGAACGCUGGCGGCAGGCCUAACACAUGCCAGUCGAACGGUAACAGGAAGCAGCUUGCUGCUUUGCUGACGAGUGGCGGACGGGUGAGUAAUGUCUGGGAAACUGCCCGAUGGAGGGGGAUAACUACUGGAAACGGUACCUAAUACCGCUUAACGUCGCAAGCCCAAAGUGGGGGACCUUAGGGCCUCUUUCCAUCGGAUGUGCCCAGAUGGGAUUAGCUAGUAGGUGGGGUAACGGCUCACCUAGGCGACGAUCCCUAGCUGGUCUGAGAGGAUGACCAGCCACACUGGAACUGAGACACGGUCCAGACUCCUACGGGAGGCAGCAGUGGGGAAUAUUGCACAAUGGGCGAAAGCCUGAUGCAGCAAUGCCGCGUGUAUGAAGAAGGCCUUCGGGUUGUAAAGUACUUUCAGCGGGGAGGAAGAGAGUAAAGUUAAAACGUGUACUCAUUGACGGUACCUGCAGAGAAAGCACCGGCUAACUACGUG